ensembl:misc_RNA Gm24057 predicted gene, 24057
GGGUGUGAGGGACAUUUGGCUGGGACAUCUGUCAUCCAGUUGAUCGUUAUGGUUGGUUUAACUGGUCUGGCUGUUGAGGAGGGAACUCACUGGUCCACGAGUUUCUUCCAAAGCUGCACGAUUGGAUAAGGAAGAUGACUUCUCCAAUAGAGGGCGAUUGUUUGGCCAGGAGUACGGAGGUAGUUGUGCUUCCAUACUAGGAUCUCCAAAGGGCUGUAGGAAAUCAGAGUUCCUUCUCCCAUGAGAGAAGAUGAAGCCUGGCCAGCCACUAGGGCUUGUUUCCCCAUCACCCUUCAUUCUUC